rnacentral:rRNA from 2 species
GGUUAAGCGACUAAGCGUACACGGUGGAUGCCCUGGCAGUCAGAGGCGAUGAAGGACGUGCUAAUCUGCGAUAAGCGCCGGUAAGGUGAUAUGAACCGUUAUAACCGGCGAUUUCCGAAUGGGGAAACCCAGUGUGACUCGUCACACUAUCAUUAACUGAAUCCAUAGGUUAAUGAGGCGAACCGGGGGAACUGAAACAUCUAAGUACCCCGAGGAAAAGAAAUCAACCGAGAUUCCCCCAGUAGCGGCGAGCGAACGGGGAGGAGCCCAGAGCCUGAAUCAGCAUGUGUGUUAGUGGAAGCGUCUGGAAAGGCGCGCGAUACAGGGUGACAGCCCCGUACACAAAAGCGCAUGUGCUGUGAGCUCGAUGAGUAGGGCGGGACACGUGGUAUCCUGUCUGAAUAUGGGGGGACCAUCCUCCAAGGCUAAAUACUCCUGACUGACCGAUAGUGAACCAGUACCGUGAGGGAAAGGCGAAAAGAACCCCGGCGAGGGGAGUGAAAAAGAACCUGAAACCGUGUACGUACAAACAGUGGGAGCACCCUUCGGGGUGUGACUGCGUACCUUUUGUAUAAUGGGUCAGCGACUUAUAUUCUGUAGCAAGGUUAACCGAAUAGGGGAGCCGGAGGGAAACCGAGUCUUAAUUGGGCGUUAAGUUGCAGGGUAUAGACCCGAAACCCGGUGAUCUAGCCAUGGGCAGGUUGAAGGUUGGGUAACACUAACUGGAGGACCGAACCGACUAAUGUUGAAAAAUUAGCGGAUGACCUGUGGCUGGGGGUGAAAGGCCAAUCAAACCGGGAGAUAGCUGGUUCUCCCCGAAAGCUAUUUAGGUAGCGCCUCGUGAAUUCAUCUCCGGGGGUAGAGCACUGUUUCGGCUAGGGGGCCAUCCCGGCUUACCAACCCGAUGCAAACUGCGAAUACCGGAGAAUGUUAUCACGGGAGACACACGGCGGGUGCUAACGUCCGUCGUGAAGAGGGAAACAACCCAGACCGCCAGCUAAGGUCCCAAAGUCAUGGUUAAGUGGGAAACGAUGUGGGAAGGCCCAGACAGCCAGGAUGUUGGCUUAGAAGCAGCCAUCAUUUAAAGAAAGCGUAAUAGCUCACUGGUCGAGUCGGCCUGCGCGGAAGAUGUAACGGGGCUAAACCAUGCACCGAAGCUGCGGCAGCGACACUGUGUGUUGUUGGGUAGGGGAGCGUUCUGUAAGCCUGCGAAGGUGGCCUGUGAGGGUUGCUGGAGGUAUCAGAAGUGCGAAUGCUGACAUAAGUAACGAUAAAGCGGGUGAAAAGCCCGCUCGCCGGAAGACCAAGGGUUCCUGUCCAACGUUAAUCGGGGCAGGGUGAGUCGACCCCUAAGGCGAGGCCGAAAGGCGUAGUCGAUGGGAAACGGGUUAAUAUUCCCGUACUUGGUGUUACUGCGAAGGGGGGACGGAGAAGGCUAUGUUGGCCGGGCGACGGUUGUCCCGGUUUAAGCGUGUAGGCUGGUUUUCCAGGCAAAUCCGGAAAAUCAAGGCUGAGGCGUGACGACGAGGCACUACGGUGCUGAAGCAACAAAUGCCCUGCUUCCAGGAAAAGCCUCUAAGCAUCAGGUAACAUCAAAUCGUACCCCAAACCGACACAGGUGGUCAGGUAGAGAAUACCAAGGCGCUUGAGAGAACUCGGGUGAAGGAACUAGGCAAAAUGGUGCCGUAACUUCGGGAGAAGGCACGCUGACAUGUAGGUGAAGUGAUUUACUCAUGGAGCUGAAGUCAGUCGAAGAUACCAGCUGGCUGCAACUGUUUAUUAAAAACACAGCACUGUGCAAACACGAAAGUGGACGUAUACGGUGUGACGCCUGCCCGGUGCCGGAAGGUUAAUUGAUGGGGUCAGCGCAAGCGAAGCUCCUGAUCGAAGCCCCGGUAAACGGCGGCCGUAACUAUAACGGUCCUAAGGUAGCGAAAUUCCUUGUCGGGUAAGUUCCGACCUGCACGAAUGGCGUAAUGAUGGCCAGGCUGUCUCCACCCGAGACUCAGUGAAAUUGAACUCGCUGUGAAGAUGCAGUGUACCCGCGGCAAGACGGAAAGACCCCGUGAACCUUUACUAUAGCUUGACACUGAACAUUGAGCCUUGAUGUGUAGGAUAGGUGGGAGGCUUUGAAGCGUGGACGCCAGUCUGCAUGGAGCCGACCUUGAAAUACCACCCUUUAAUGUUUGAUGUUCUAACGUGGACCCGUAAUCCGGGUUGCGGACAGUGUCUGGUGGGUAGUUUGACUGGGGCGGUCUCCUCCUAAAGAGUAACGGAGGAGCACGAAGGUUGGCUAAUCCUGGUCGGACAUCAGGAGGUUAGUGCAAUGGCAUAAGCCAGCUUGACUGCGAGCGUGACGGCGCGAGCAGGUGCGAAAGCAGGUCAUAGUGAUCCGGUGGUUCUGAAUGGAAGGGCCAUCGCUCAACGGAUAAAAGGUACUCCGGGGAUAACAGGCUGAUACCGCCCAAGAGUUCAUAUCGACGGCGGUGUUUGGCACCUCGAUGUCGGCUCAUCACAUCCUGGGGCUGAAGUAGGUCCCAAGGGUAUGGCUGUUCGCCAUUUAAAGUGGUACGCGAGCUGGGUUUAGAACGUCGUGAGACAGUUCGGUCCCUAUCUGCCGUGGGCGCUGGAGAACUGAGGGGGGCUGCUCCUAGUACGAGAGGACCGGAGUGGACGCAUCACUGGUGUUCGGGUUGUCAUGCCAAUGGCACUGCCCGGUAGCUAAAUGCGGAAGAGAUAAGUGCUGAAAGCAUCUAAGCACGAAACUUGCCCCGAGAUGAGUUCUCCCUGAGACUUAGAGUCUCCUGAAGGAACGUUGAAGACGACGACGUUGAUAGGCCGGGUGUGUAAGCGCAGCGAUGCGUUGAGCUAACCGGUACUAAUGAACCGUGAGGCUUAACCUU